GAGCGGUAUUGUUUCUUCGGAAACGAGAGAGCGGCGCACGGGUGCGGAACACGUGUGCAACCUGCCUUUAUCUGGGGGAUAGCCUUUCGAAAGGAAGAUUAAUACCCCAUAAUAUUUUGAAUGGCAUCAUUUAAAAUUGAAAACUCCGGUGGAUAGAGAUGGGCACGCGCAAGAUUAGAUAGUUGGUAGGGUAACGGCCUACCAAGUCAGUGAUCUUUAGGGGGCCUGAGAGGGUGAUCCCCCACACUGGUACUGAGACACGGACCAGACUCCUACGGGAGGCAGCAGUGAGGAAUAUUGGACAAUGGGUGAGAGCCUGAUCCAGCCAUCCCGCGUGAAGGACGACGGCCCUAUGGGUUGUAAACUUCUUUUGUACAGGGAUAAACCUUUCCACGUGUGGAAAGCUGAAGGUACUGUACGAAUAAGCACCGGCUAACUCCGUG
rnacentral:rRNA from 1 species